rfam:Triticum aestivum genome assembly, contig: Triticum_aestivum_CS42_TGACv1_scaffold_579575_7BL
AUAGUACUCCCUUCGUUCGGAAUUACUUGUCUCAGAAAUGGAUGUAUCUAGAACUAAAAGACGUUUAGAUACAUUCAUUUCCGCGACAAGUAAUUCCGAACAAAAGGAGUAGGUG